GGGUAGCGGAACACGUACACAACCUUCCUUUUGGUGGGGGAUAGCCCAGAGAAAUUUGGAUUAAUACCCCAUAGUAUGAUGUGGAAGCAUUUCCAUAUUAUUAAAGAUUUAUUGCCAGGAGAUGGGUGUGCGUCUGAUUAGGUAGUUGGUUGGGGUAACGGCCCACCAAGCCAGCGAUCAGUAACUGGUGUGAGAGCACGACCAGUCACACGGGCACUGAGACACGGGCCCG
rnacentral:rRNA from 1 species